AAAUUGUAAAUUUAAUUUUGGGAUAUUUUAAAAUUCACUUUUUGGAAGUGAAAGUGUUUCCAGUUUU
rnacentral:tRNA from 1 species